rnacentral:rRNA from 1 species
AGUGAACGCUGGCGGUAGGCCUAACACAUGCAAGUCGAACGGCAGCACAGUAAGAGCUUGCUCUUACGGGUGGUGAGUGGCGGACGGGUGAGGAAUACAUCGGAAUCUACUUUUUCGUGGGGGAUAACGUAGGGAAACUUACGCUAAUACCGCAUACGACCUACGGGUGAAAGCAGGGGAUCUUCGGACCUUGCGCGAUUGAAUGAGCCGAUGUCAGAUUAGCUAGUUGGCGGGGUAAAGGCCCACCAAGGCGACGAUCCGUAGCUGGUCUGAGAGGAUGAUCAGCCACACUGGAACUGAGACACGGUCCAGACUCCUACGGGAGGCAGCAGUGGGGAAUAUUGGACAAUGGGCGCAAGCCUGAUCCAGCCAUACCGCGUGGGUGAAGAAGGCCUUCGGGUUGUAAAGCCCUUUUGUUGGGAAAGAAAAGCAGCAGGUUAAUACCCCGCUGUUCUGACGGUACCCAAAGAAUAAGCACCGGCUAACUUCGUG